rnacentral:rRNA from 1 species
GAUGAACGCUGGCGGCGUGCCUAAUACAUGCAAGUAGAACGCUGAAGCUUGGUGCUUGCACCGAGCGGAUGAGUUGCGAACGGGUGAGUAACGCGUAGGUAACCUGCCUCUUAGCGGGGGAUAACUAUUGGAAACGAUAGCUAAUACCGCAUAAAAGACGAUAUCGCAUGAUAUUGAUUUGAAAGAUGCAAUUGCAUCACUAAGAGAUGGACCUGCGUUGUAUUAGCUAGUUGGUGAGGUAACGGCUCACCAAGGCGACGAUACAUAGCCGACCUGAGAGGGUGAUCGGCCACACUGGGACUGAGACACGGCCCAGACUCCUACGGGAGGCAGCAGUAGGGAAUCUUCGGCAAUGGGGGCAACCCUGACCGAGCAACGCCGCGUGAGUGAAGAAGGUUUUCGGAUCGUAAAGCUCUGUUGUAAGAGAAGAACGAGUGUGAGAGUGGAAAGUUCACACUGUGACGGUAACUUACCAGAAAGGGACGGCUAAUACG